rnacentral:lncRNA from 1 species
UUUUAUAUUUAAAAUAUUAAUCAUUUAAAUUAAUAAGUAAAAACAUAUUAAAGUUUUAAUUAAAAUAAAACAUAUAACAUUAACAUUGAAAACAUAAGAAAAUUACAAAGUUACAAAAACUUGAAAAAAACAAACUUAACAUACAAUUAAAACAUUAAGAAUGAAAAACAUAAAACAUACUAACAUUAAAAAUAAAAACAAACAUUUUAUUCAAUUCAUAGAA